UUGUGGAGUGUGUGUCCUAACAGGAUGUGUUGUGUCAUUGUAGCUUCUGACAGCGACUCCAACUCCUCCAACAACCCCCCAGCUAAAGCAUGAAGAUCCAUCUGAGGUCUGAACAGGGCAGAGGAUGAAGGCCUCAGCUGAUCUACCGAUUCCUCUGACACAGUCUCCCUCACACUGCUCAAUACUGAUUGAUUAUAGAGGUCCCCUCAACCCACAGACACUGGGGCUCACCCCUGACCCCCGAAACAACAGGCUCUCUCCACUGUAUCUCCAUCUGGCUUCACGUCCGGCUGCUCACACAAGUAAAACUCAGCUGUUCUGUUGCUCUUCACUGAGCUCUGGGCAGAACUCCUCCAGGGCCAUGAGGAGAGACUAACUGCUGGGGGUCACAGUUCACUGAUCUCCCCUGGGAGCCUGACACCACAGACACCCCAGUUUAAUCCAGAGUCUCCCCACUGUUGGCACUGUGAUGAAGGAGAGAGUGCAGUUCACUGAUCUCCCCUGGGAGCCUGA